rnacentral:lncRNA from 1 species
GGUCUGGUAAUAGAAAGAGGCUGAAGGGGUGGCAAACAAGCCCUUGCUUUACUAUUCCAUUGUGGUUUGGCACUGGACUUAGUAGGGGACCUAUCAGACCAGGAAACAGACCGUGCAUAUGUUUUCCGAUUUCCACCAGGUACCCUGUCCUUCUCAUCUACCCCCAACAUUGCUAGACAUCAAAAUAACCAAUCACAGUCUAUCAGACCAGGAAACAGACCGUGCAUACGUUUUCCGAUUCCCACCAGGUACCUUGUCCUUCUCAUCUACCCCCAACAUUUCUAGACAUCAAAAUGACCAAUCACAGCCAUAUAGGAUUUGGUCUAGGAAGGCUCAACCAAGGAUGCUGACCAUCCAAGUCUCAACUGAAAUUCAAGAAAUCCAAUGAGAACCCAGCUGAAAGAAAUACAAAGAAAGCAUCAAAAGUGAAGUCGCGGUAUAUCAAAUUUUUAUCUAAAAUCCAAGAACCCGCAUUCUAGGAAAAGUAACAAGAAGCAUAAAAUGAAAACGCCCUUUCUGUGGCUGCUCAAAGUUGAAAGCAUCAAAAGUGAAGUGUGAGGUGAAAAAGAUCAAAUUUUUACCGAUAAUUCAAACAACCCCAUAUGAGGAUCCUUCUAAGGAAGCAUAAAUUUUCCUUUUUUUGUGGUUGUUCGGAGUUGAAAAGAAACAAACCGUUCAAAGAUUCAAACUUUAUGACAAUUUCCCCCCACCUAAAAUCCUUGAACAUUUCUCCUCUAUUUUUUGCAUGCUUAGCAGAAAAAAAUAAGAGCAAAUCAAACACAAGACGACUUGGUAAAACAACGGCAAUUAUGGAAUUCAACGUAAAACAGCACAACCCACAUAAUAAAAGAAUAAAGAAAGUCUAUUCAAAUAUUCAAGCUAUUGAAUUGCAUAAAAUAUACUCCUUAUAAUUAACUUAAAACAAACAAAAACAGUAGUCGGAAGAAACUCACUGGACAUAAAAGAAAAACUCGGGUAGUUGGCCUGUUUGUAGCAGACAUUUGAUUAUUGAAAUCCCAGGAAAAUUACUGCAAAAAUGUACAAAUAGAAAAUGAUUGAUGAUGAAAAAGAAAGGAGAAAAAAAGUGAAGGAGAAUGGAAAAAGUACUGGGAAAAUUACCAAUUCAAAGCUUGUUAAGCAGUUUGUGAAUCGGAAGAAGAAGGAUGAGAGAGAAGAGGAG